rnacentral:rRNA from 1 species
UAGUCAUAUGCUUGUCUUAAAGAUUAAGCCAUGCAUGUCUAAGUAUAAGCACUUGUACUGUGAAACUGCGAAUGGCUCAUUAUAUCAGUUAUAAUUUAUUUGAUGGUCAUUUACUUGGAUAACCGUGGUAAAUCUAGAGCUAAUACAUGCAUAAAAUCCUGACUGGGAACGGAAAGGAUGUAUUUAUUAGAUACAAAAACCAAUGCACUAGGCUUUCGGGUCUAGUGGAAAACAAUGGUGAUUCAUGAUAACUUUACGAAUCGUGUGGUCUUGCACCGACGAUAGUUCAUUCAAAUUUCUGCCCUAUCAACUUUCGAUGGUAGUAUAGAGGACUACCAUGGUGGUAACGGGUAACGGAGAAUCAGGGUUUGAUUCCGGAGAAGGAGCCUGAGAAACGGCUACUACUUCCAAGGAAGGCAGCAGGCGCGCAAAUUACCCAAUCCCGACACGGGGAGGUAGUGACAAAAAAUAACAAUACCGGUCUUAUAUAAGUCUGGUAAUUGGAAUGAGUACAAUCUAAACCCCUUAACGAGUAUCAAUU